CACUCCCUCGCCACACUGUCGCACCAUCUCCCUCCUCCCUCCUCCCUCAUCACCAGCCAUCGCAACAGGGGAUUUGCGGCCCCUCCAUCAUCACCAGCCGCAGCACCAGGAGAUUUGCCACUGCCAAGAUCCAGCACCUUGCAAGGUCCUCGGGUCAGCCUUGUCGCGCAUGCCACUCUGUCGACCAGAUCUACGCCCUUGACUCCCUCUUCUCUCGCGUCACGCGGUGCCCGCUGCUCCACCAUGCCGCGGUUAACUCGUGGAUGACGGGGCCAUGGACCGGUCCUUAAGGAGAGAAGGAAGAUGAGGGAGAGAGAAGGAAGGAGAGGUGGGAGAAGGAGAGAGGAAAGAUGAGAGUUUGCCACAAAAAUCUUGCUGACUGUACAGAUCUGAGGAUGAAGAAAACAAGAAGAAUUUAGCUGAAGGGGUGAAGAAAAUCAAGGUUUAUUGCUUCUCAUGGGAUGUGAUUAUGGUCAUGCUACUUGUUAUGAAGGCUGAGGUGAGCAUCAUGAACAUGAGCAGGCGAGUGGAUGAUACAAAGAGCUCCUCGAAUGGGGAAGUAGCAUUGUUGGAGGAACUCGAAGAUGAGAAGAUCCUUUGUGCUCCCUAUCACAUCUGGCUUGGCCACCUACGGAUUCUUGGGUCCAGGUUCCUGAUCUGAAGCGGAGGAACACGAGGUCGCAUCUAUUAAGUGGCAAAAGGGGUUUGCAACGAUUUUCUUCAGUCUGACAAUCAUAUAGUAAUUAGACGGUGUAGUACUAUGGCGGUGGUAUACUGAUUUGGUGUAAGAAUCACUAACAUGAGUUUGCGUGUACAAAUCUUACAGACUUGCUGUUUUUUGUUUAGUUGAAGGGCCCUCCAGGCUUAAGAUCUUUCGAGGAUAAUUGCGUCAUUGAAUCUGAAGGUUAUGCAAUCUCCUAUGUUACUGCAUGUUGAUCUUCUAUUUUGUUGUAACUCUGUUUUGCUGCUCGAGUUCUUCUGCCAUUCAACAGUCAAUACCAAGCCAUUUUUAUGGAGCCGAUAGUGUUCUGGUGGUCAGUGGUAAAUGAAAAUCUCUUUCAUUAUCAUUGCUUGCUAUGUAGCCAUUUUUCUUCUUUUUGCUUUGCAUUGAUGUGUUUGUUUCUAUGGAGUCUCUACUACCUUACAAUAUCAAGAUGAAAACUAAGCAUCGGAGUUUCUCGGAGCAGCCCUACACGUGGUUGUUGUGCCUUUUUCCAUUGUGCUUUCGAAAUGCAACAUGACAAUAGUCAAUGUCAUAUAUCAGGGUUGUAAACCUAUUAGAAUUGGGACAGAGGAAAGUGUGAAGAUCUUCUGAUUAUUUCAAAGUAAAAGUUGAUAUUAGUGCCAACUUAGGUGAUCUGGUACAAAGGGAUAUCUCAGCUUUAUGAGUUGAUAGUAUAUUUGCAUCUAAGAAUAAACCUUAGCUUUUGGACAGAAUUUAUGAGUGAAAGUAUUCUGCUGUAUACAAGCCUUUUGUGCAGGAUUGUCAUGGUUGUUGUGGUUGUCAAUUUUGUUGACAAAAUAGUUCCAAUGGAUAUCUUUUUCGGUGUCGUAUGGUAGAUAUAUUUGGUCUGCUCUUUCAUGUGCUGUUCGGCUUUAUGAUUAAUAUUCCCAGAAAUUUGAACAAAAUUGAGCUAUUAAAUAUAUGUCCCAGGAAAUUUAGAUUAUUACAGUGGGGGCACUCCUUUGUACGGUUUUCAGUACAAGAGAUUUAACCUUUUUUGCAGUAUCAUUCUCCCUGGCAGAUUACAUGUAGGUUGUUUUAAUUACAAGCAUGCCUUCAGCUCAUGGUUCUUAUAUUUUUGAUUUUCCAUAGGAUAAUUUCCUGGAUUAAUAUCUAUACUGGAGAUCCAGGAGUCCACCAGAAUUCAGUCUCCAAGAAGCCUUUCAUCCAGGAUGCACCAAAAUUCAAAUGUUAUGUGAAAAGCGUGUGUGCUAGAUGUGGCCACUGUCUAGCGUUUUGAUCUGUCCACUUAGGUGCUUUUGUCUAGGUGGUAACACAACAAGUUGCUUAUCUUGUAGAUACUUAUCUUAUGUACAAUCCUAUGUUCAUUUUGUAAGCAUGUUAGAGCAGGAGCUUCUGCCCCUAUGUGAGUUAUCCUAUGGGAAUUACCAACUUUGCCUGUACUUUCGAGUGGGCUGAAUCCAAUGCAAGUUUUUGGAGCAGUUGGGUUCCAGAACAAACGACUAGGUAUUCCCAAAGAGGUCAAUCCACUGGUGGCUAGCAUAAUAUCUUCAUGUUGGGACAACGAUCAAAGCAAACAACCAUCAUUCUACCAGCUCUUGUCAUCGCUGAAGAAAUUACAGUGGUUACCUGUUACAGAAAGCCUAUGACAAUUUGCGAGUGUUGUUUGUGCAGUAUACUGGUUUUAUGGCAGGUGCAUGUUUGAAUUCAGAUGGCAGUGGUUUCCUUGUUUACAGUUAUAAA